AACGAACGCUGGCGGCAGGCUUAACACAUGCAAGUCGAGCGCUGUAGCAAUACAGAGCGGCGCACGGGUGAGUAACACGUGGGAACAUGCCCUAUGGUUCGGAAUAACCCAGGGAAACUUGGGCUAAUACCGGAUAAAGCCCUUACGGGGAAAGAUUUAUCGCCAUUGGAGCGGCCCGCGUCCGAUUAGCUAGUUGGUGG
rnacentral:rRNA from 1 species